rnacentral:rRNA from 1 species
UACAGAGGUCCCGAGCGUUGUUCGGAUUCAUUGGGCGUAAAGGGUGCGUAGGCGGUUUUUUAAGUUUGAUGUGAAAUCCCGGGGCUCAACCCUGGAAUUGCAUUGAAUACUGAAGAACUAGAGAUCUGGAGAGGAAACUGGAAUUUACGGUGUAGCAGUGAAAUGCGUAGAGAUCGUAAGGAAGACCAGUGGCGAAGGCGAGUUUCUGGACAGAUACUGACGCUGAGGCACGAAGGCCAGGGGAGCAAACGGG